CGGACGGGUGAGUAACGCGUGGGUAACCUGCCUUACACAGGGGGAUAACACUUAGAAAUAGGUGCUAAUACCGCAUAAGCGCACAGCUUCGCAUGAAGCGGUGUGAAAAACUCUGGUGGUAUACGAUGGUUCCGCGUCUGAUUAGCUAGUUGGUGGGGUAAUGGCCUACCAAGGCAACGAUCAGUAGCCGGCCUGAGAGGGUGAACGGCCACAUUGGGACUGAGACACGGCCCAAACUCCUACGGGAGGCAGCAG
rnacentral:rRNA from 1 species